UGGCUCUAAUAUGAUAAUGGUAGUAGGGUGGUGGAUGUCUAGUGUCCCUUAUGGCUCUAAUCUGAUAGUGGUAGUGGGGUGGUAGAUUCCUAGUGUCCCUUAUGGCUCUAAUCUGAUAGUGGUAGUGGGGUGGUAGAUUCCUAGUGUCCCUUAUGGCUCAAAUCUGAUAGUGGUAGUGGGGUGGUAGAUUCCUAGUGUCCCUUAUGGCUCUAAUCUGAUAGUGGUAGUGGGGUGGUAGAGUCCUAGUGUCCCUUGUGGCUCUAAUCUGAUAGUGGUAGUGGGGGGUGGCAGAUUCCUAGUGUCCCUUAUGGCUCUAAUCUGAUAGUGGUAGUGGGGUGGUAGAUUCCUAUUGUCCCUUAUGGCUCUAAUCUGAUAGUGUGGUAGUGGGGGUGGCAGAUUCCUAGUGUCCCUUAUGGCUCUAAUCUGAUAGUGGUAGUGGGGUGGCAGAUUCCUAGUGUCCCUUAUGGCUCUAAUCUGAUAGUAGUAGUAGGGUGGUGGAUGUCUAGUGUCCCAUAUGGCUCUAAUAUGAUAAUGGUAGUGGGGUAGUAGAUUCCUAGUGUCCCUAAUGGCUCUAAUAUGAUAAUGGUAGUAGGGUGGUGGAUGUCUAGUGUCCCUUAUGGCUCUAAUAUGAUAAUGGUAGUAGGGUGGCAGAUUCCUAGGGUCCCUUAUGGCUCUAAUCUGAUAGUGGUAGUGGGGUGGUAGAUUCCUAGUGUCCCUUAUGGCUCUAAUCUGAUAGUGGUAGUGGGGUGGUAGAUUCCUAGUGUCCCUUAUGGCUCUAAUCUGAUAGUGGUAGUGGGGUGGUAGAGUCCUAGUGUCCCUUAUGGCUCUAAUCUGAUAGUGGUAGUGGGGGGUGGCAGAUUCCUAGUGUCCCUUAUGGCUCUAAUCUGAUAGUGGUAGUUGGGGUGGUAGAUUCCUAGUGUCCCUUAUGGCUCUAAUCUGAUAGUGGUAGUGGGGGGUGGCAGAUUCCUAGUGUCCCUUAUGGCUCUAAUCUGAUAGUGGUAGUGGGGUGGUAGAUUCCUAGUGUCCCUUAUGGCUCUAAUAUGAUAAUGGUAGUAGGGUGGUGGAUGUCUAGUGUCCCUUAUGGCUCUAAUAUGAUAAUGGCAGUAGGGUGGUGGAUGUCUAGUGUCCCUUAUGGCUCUAAUAUGAUAAUGGUAGUAGGGUGGUGGAUGUCUAGUGUCCCUUAUGGCUCUAAUCUGAUAAUGGUAGUAGGGUGGUAGAUGUCUAGUGUCCCUUAUGGCUCUAAUCUGAUAGUGGUAGUAGGGGUGGCAGAUUCCUAGUGUCCCUUAUGGCUCUAAUCUGAUAGUGGUAGUGGGGUGGUAGAUUCCUAGGGUCCCUUAUGGCUCUAAUAGGAUAGUGGUAGUGGGGUUGUAGAUUCCUAGUGUCCCUUAUGGCUCUAAUCUGAUAGUGGUAGUGGGGUGGUUGAUUCCUAGUGUCCCUUAUGGCUCUAAUCUGAUAGUGGUAGUGGGGUGGUAGAGUCCUAGUGUCCCUUAUGGCUCUAAUCUGAUAGUGGUAGUGGGGGGUGGCAGAUUCCUAGUGUCCCUUAUGGCUCUAAUCUGAUAGUGGUAGUGGGGUGGUAGAUUCCUAGUGUCCCUUGUGGCUCUAAUAUGAUAAUGGCAGUAGGGUGGUGGAUGUCUAGUGUCCCUUAUGGCUCUAAUAUGAUAAUGGUAGUAGGGUGGUGGAUGUCUAGUGUCCCUUAUGGCUCUAAUAUGAUAAUGGUAGUAGGGUGGUGGAUGUCUAGUGUCCCUUAUGGCUCUAAUCUGACAGUAGUAGUGGGGGGUGGCAGAUUCCUAGUGUCCCUUAUGGCUCUAAUCUGAUAGUGGUAGUGGGGUGGUAGAUUCCUAGUGUCCCUUAUGGCUCUAAUCUGAUAGUGGUAGUGGGGUGGUAGAUUCCUAGGGUCCCUUAUGGCUCUAAUAGGAUAGUGGUAGUGGGGUGGUAGAUUCCUAGUGUCCCUUAUGGCUCUAAUCUGAUAGUGGUAGUGGGGUGGUUGAUUCCUAGUGUCCCUUAUGGCUCUAAUCUGAUAGUGGUAGUGGGGUGGUAGAUUCCUAGUGUCCCUUAUGGCUCUAAUAUGAUAGUGGAUGUAGGGUGGUGGAUGUCUAGUGUCCCUUAUGGCUCUAAUAUGAUAAUGGUAGUGGGGUGGUAGAUUCCUAGUGUCCCUUGUGGCUCUAAUAUGAUAAUGGUAGUAGGGUGGUG
ensembl:lncRNA